rnacentral:rRNA from 1 species
AGUGAACGCUGGCGGUAGGCCUAACACAUGCAAGUCGAACGGCAGCACAGUAAGAGCUUGCUCUUACGGGUGGCGAGUGGCGGACGGGUGAGGAAUACAUCGGAAUCUACUUUUUCGUGGGGGAUAACGUAGGGAAACUUACGCUAAUACCGCAUACGACCUACGGGUGAAAGCAGGGGAUCUUCGGACCUUGCGCGAUUGAAUGAGCCGAGGUCGGAUUAGCUAGUUGGCGGGGUAAAGGCCCACCAAGGCGACGAUCCGUAGCUGGUCUGAGAGGAUGAUCGGCCACACUGGAACUGAGACACGGUCCAGACUCCUACGGGAGGCAGCAGUGGGGAAUAUUGGACAAUGGGCGCAAGCCUGAUCCAGCCAUACCGCGUGGGUGAAGAAGGCCUUCGGGUUGUAAAGCCCUUUUGUUGGGAAAGAAAAGCAGCAGGUUAAUACCCCGCUGUUCUGACGGUACCCAAAGAAUAAGCACCGGCUAACUUCGUG